rnacentral:rRNA from 1 species
AUUGAACGCUGGCGGCAUGCCUUACACAUGCAAGUCGAACGGCAGCACGGGUGCUUGCACCUGGUGGCGAGUGGCGAACGGGUGAGUAAUACAUCGGAACAUGUCCUGUAGUGGGGGAUAGCCCGGCGAAAGCCGGAUUAAUACCGCAUACGAUCUACGGAUGAAAGCGGGGGACCUUCGGGCCUCGCGCUAUAGGGUUGGCCGAUGGCUGAUUAGCUAGUUGGUGGGGUAAAGGCCUACCAAGGCGACGAUCAGUAGCUGGUCUGAGAGGACGACCAGACACUGGGACUGAGACACGGCCCAGACUCCUACGGGAGGCAGCAGUGGGGAAUUUUGGACAAUGGGCGAAAGCCUGAUCCAGCAAUGCCGCGUGUGUGAAGAAGGCCUUCGGGUUGUAAAGCACUUUUGUCCGGAAAGAAAUCCUUGGCUCUAAUACAGUCGGGGGAUGACGGUACCGGAAGAAUAAGCACCGGCUAACUACGUG